rnacentral:misc_RNA from 1 species
AAGUCGUAACAAGGUUUCCGUAGGUGAACCUGCGGAAGGAUCAUUAACACGUGAAAACGUAUUAACCAAUCUACCUUAUACAACCUGAGAAUUUCACCCCUCCCUAUUCAUUUGAUGCUGUUCCAUACGAUAUGUAGUAGGAUAUGAUUUCGGUCAUAUGCAAUUGUAUGGAUACUAAGGUUUCGAACCUAAGGUAUCUUUUGUUAGGCUUUUUUAUUUUUUCCCCUACUACAAAAAUACUAAACCAACCUAUUUCACCUAUUAAACCCUAUUUUGACUGAUGUACGUUGAUAGUAAAGAAAUUUACUGGAUCAACACCAUUUAUCUAAACUAAGCACAACUCUUAGCAAUGGAUAUCUUGGUUCUC